UGACCGCAAGGCUAGAGUAUGGCAGAGGGGGGUGGAAUUCCACGUGUAGCAGUGAAAUGCGUAGAGAUGUGGAGGAACACCAAUGGCGAAGGCAGCCCCCUGGGCCAAUACUGACGCUCAUGCACGAAAGCGUGGGUAGCAAACAGGAUUAGAUACCCUGGUAGUCCACGCCCUAAACGAUGUCAACUAGGUGUUGGGUGGGUAAAACCAUUUUAGUACCGUAGCUAACGCGUGAAGUUGACCGCCUGGGGAGUACGGCCGCAAGGUUAAAACUCAAAGGAAUUGACGGGGACCCGCACAAGCGGUGGAUGAUGUGGAUUAAUUCGAUGCAACGCGAAAAACCUUACCUACCCUUGACAUGUCCGGAAGCCUGAAGAGAUUUGGGUGUGCCCGAAAGGGAACUGGAACACAGGUGCUGCAUGGCUGUCGUCAGCUCGUGUCGUGAGAUGUUGGGUUAAGUCCCGCAACGAGCGCAACCCUUGUCGUUAAUUGCCAUCAUUUAGUUGGGCACUUUAACGAGACUGCCGGUGACAAACCGGAGGAAGGUGGGGAUGACGUCAAGUCCUCAUGGCCCUUAUGGGUAGGGCUUCACACGUCAUACAAUGGUCGGUACAGAGGGUUGCCAAGCCGCGAGGUGGAGCCAAUCCCAGAAAGCCGAUCGUAGUCCGGAUUGCAGGCUGCAAUUCGUCUGCGUGAAGCCGGAAUCGCUAGUAAUCGCGGAUCAGCUACGCCGCGGUGAAUACGUUCUCGGGCCUUGUACACACCGCCCGUCACAUCACGAAAGUUGGUCGUGCCCGAAGUCAUUGAGCUAACCCGCAAGGGAGGCAGAUGCCUAAGGCAUGGUCGAUGAUUGGGGUGAAGUCGUAACAAGGUAACC
rnacentral:rRNA from 1 species